rnacentral:rRNA from 1 species
UACGGAGGGGACUAGCGUUGUUCGGAAUUACUGGGCGUAAAGCGCACGUAGGCGGAUUUGUAAGUCAGGGGUGAAAUCCCGGGGCUCAACCUCGGAACUGCCUUUGAUACUGCAAAUCUCGAGUCCGGAAGAGGUGAGUGGAAUUCCUAGUGUAGAGGUGAAAAUUCGUAGAUAUUAGGAAGAACACCAGUGGCGAAGGCGACUUACUGGACACAUAUUGACGCUGAGGUGCGAAAGCGUGGGGAGCAAACAGG